GAUGAACGCUGGCGGCGUGCUUAACACAUGCAAGUCGAACGAAGCAUUUAGAACGGAUUACUUCGGUUUGAAGUUCUUUAUGACUGAGUGGCGGACGGGUGAGUAACGCGUGGGUAACCUGCCUUGUACUGGGGGAUAGCAGCUGGAAACGGCUGGUAAUACCGCAUAAGCGCACAAUGUUGCAUGACAUGGUGGGAAAAACUCCGGUGGUAUAAGAUGGACCCGCGUCUGAUUAGCUAGUUGGUGAGAUAACAGCCCACCAAGGCGACGAUCAGUAGCCGACCUGAGAGGGUGACCGGCCACAUUGGGACUGAGACACGGCCCAGACUCCUACGGGAGGCAGCAGUGGGGAAUAUUGCACGAUGGAGGAAACUCUGAUGCAGCGACGCCGCGUGAGUGAAGAAGUAAUUCGUUAUGUAAAGCUCUAUCAGCAGGGAAGAUAGUGACGGUACCUGACUAAGAAGCUCCGGCUAAAUACGUGCCAGCCGCCGCCGUAA
rnacentral:rRNA from 1 species